GGGAGGUCCGUCAUAUAGCACAAAGGAAUCUUUUACUCUUGACUUGCUGAAGCCAAAAAAUGGUUAUUCAUUAUUCCAAGUUGCUCAAAGCGUAGCUCCAAAUAUCAUUAUGUACUUGCCUCGUAAUGUUGACUUACUGCAAGUUGAAGAGCUCGCUUGGUUGUCUUCUCCCCCCUUGAAAGUCGAGAUGGAAGAGAAUAUGCUUCAUGGAAGGUUGAAGAGCAUAACUGCUUAUUUUG
rnacentral:misc_RNA from 1 species